UGGGGAAUCUUGGACAAUGGGGGCAACCCUGAUCCAGCCAUGCCGCGUGAGUGAUGAAGGCCUUAGGGUCGUAAAGCUCUUUCGCCUGUGAAGAUAAUGACGGUAGCAGGUAAAGAAACCCCGGCUAACUCCGUGCCAGCAGCCGCGGUAAUACGGAGGGGGUUAGCGUUGUUCGGAAUUACUGGGCGUAAAGCGCACGUAGGCGGACCAGAAAGUUGGGGGUGAAAUCCCGGGGGCUCAACCCCGGAACUGCCUCCAAAACUAUUGGUCUAGAGUUCGAGAGAGGUGAGUGGAAUUCCAAGUGUAGAGGUGAAAAUUCGUAGAUAUUUGGAGGAACACCAGUGGCGAAGGCGGCUCACUGGCUCGAUACUGACGCUGAGGUGCGAAAAGUGUGGGGAGCAAAACAGGAUUAGAUACCCUGGUAGUCCACACCGUAAAACGAUGAAUGCCAGUCGUCGGGUAGCAUGCUAUUCGGUGACACACCUAACGGAUU
rnacentral:rRNA from 1 species